UCGAUUUGUAUAAGCAGACAACACACCACACAACUCACAACCCUCACAAGCAUCCCUCCAUCUCCCUCUCUCUAAAAAUCCGGUCACCGGAUUAGGGUUCCGGCGACCCUUCCGGCGCCGCCUUUCCGGUGAGCCACAACCAAACGAACCGGGCACGACCCCCCACCUCUACCACUCUUGUCUCCUCUCCCUUGUCCCACACAAACAACAGCAGCAACACCGCCACUCGACGGCGGCGGUAGAACGGAACGAUGGGCGGCGGUAGAUCGGAACGAUGGGCGGCGACUCGCGAUUCGGGUUUCGAGUUAGAAUCGGUUCAGGUCAUCGGAGCUCCGGCCCGGCUGACAACGGCAACGAGUUCAGGUCUCGGUUCAGUUGAAUCGGGUGGCUCGGGAUCGAGCCUGGAUUUGUUUCGGUUCAGCUUUCGUUCUCUUGUUCGAGUCCCGUUCGACCUCAGUCCACUCCGGUCAUCAUACGGCUCGGGUCUCAGGUCAACGGCUCAGGUUUGGCUCGGAAUCGGAGUUUACGUCGGAUCCGAGUCUUCACUGUUUCGGGUGACCUCGAUGUUCCAUCCUCCAAAUCUUUUACGCUCGUCAACACUUGGAUAAUCGGAAGACUUGGCAAUUAUGAUAACACUCUCGUCCGUUCUCUUGGACUCCCGUUUACUCAUGCACCGUCGUUUACCCAUGUAGGGUGACCUCGGUGUUCCAUCCUCCAAAUCUUUUACGCUCGUCAACACUUGGAUAACCGGAAGACUUGGCAAUUAUGUUGACUAAUGAAGUAUGAAUGAUUGAUGAAAUAAGUUUAGGGUGGACUAGAUACACACCUAGAUUUAUCUAUCUUUGUUUGUCAUGUUAUUUGUUGAAACAAUGUUGUUAUUUCCUUUUAAUUUUGUAUGACAUUUAGUUUUGAAAUGAAAUUUGAAUUUAAUUAGAUAUUG